GGGUUCGUGGUCUAGUUGGUUAUCCAAGGCUUAGCUCAGCUAUCUUUGGACUAAGACGUCGCCCUUACAAGGCGAAGAUCCCCAGUUCGAAUCUGGGCGAACCCA
rnacentral:tRNA from 1 species